CCCUGUGAGAGCAGAGCCCAUGUGUGCUGGCAUCACCUGUGUGCACCGCACACCUCGUGCCCGGCGCAGAUCGGCACGCUACGAUUUGCUGACUGAGACCACUGGAUAAGUCAAAGAAUAACUGAGCACUUCUUCUCUGCUCAAAAGCCAUCGCUGGCUCCCACCUCAUCACCCAGAGAAGCCCAGACUAACCCACUCAGCUGGGGCCUUGAAAGCUGGUGGACCUGUCCACGCAUCACGCUGUCAUAUCUGAAGAAACGGGAUUCGAUGUCACCAACUCGUUCCCUGUCUUGGUCAGCUCGGGCAGCCGUAACAAAAUGCCACAGGCUGUGGAUCCGAAACAAGCCACGUUCGUUGUGCACAGCAGUGGGGCCUGGACGUCCGAGGUCACGAUGUCAGCAUGUCUGGUUCCUCUUGAGCUCACAGACGCCGACUUCUCCAUCUCCAACCUUUCUCUCUGCUACCGGGGCCUGACUGGAAUGGAGAAGGGAGGAGGGGAAGUUUUGGCUCUGGAAGAUGACACUGGAAGUCUCACUCCAUUGUGAAAGAGGUACUCUUUCUGAGAAUCAACACUUGUCCGUUAGUGACGUGUUUGUGGGCAACACUGGUUUUCAGCCGCAGCUGCACACGGGAAUCACCUGAGAGGCUCAAAGAGCAAAUACUGGUGCGCAGAUCUCCCCCCCGGAUAUUCUGUUUGUGAUUGUUACUGUUCUAGAGGGAGA